UGGGGAAUAUUGCACAAUGGGCGCAAGCCUGAUGCAGCCAUGCCGCGUGUAUGAAGAAGGCCUUCGGGUUGUAAAGUACUUUCAGCGGGGAGGAAGGGAGUAAAGUUAAUACCUUUGCUCAUUGACGUUACCCGCAGAAGAAGCACCGGCUAACUCCGUGCCAGCAGCCGCGGUAAUACGGAGGGUGCAAGCGUUAAUCGGAAUUACUGGGCGUAAAGCGCACGCAGGCGGUUUGUUAAGUCAGAUGUGAAAUCCCCGGGCUCAACCUGGGAACUGCAUCUGAUACUGGCAAGCUUGAGUCUCGUAGAGGGGGGUAGAAUUCCAGGUGUAGCGGUGAAAUGCGUAGAGAUCUGGAGGAAUACCGGUGGCGAAGGCGGCCCCCUGGACGAAGACUGACGCUCAGGUGCGAAAGCUUGGGGAGCAAACAGG
rnacentral:rRNA from 1 species